AAUGAUAUCAAAAGAGAAAAAGAGAACGAUCAUUUGUUUAAAGAACACUACACCAAAUCAUCAUAUUUUAUGGUGUCAUAACUGAAGAGAAAGUGAUGGAAGAAAGGUAUAUGGGGCCGUGGAUAACAAGUUUUUCCCCUUUUUUUGUUUCACCGAAUGUUGUGGUGUAUGUUUCAUAAUAACCACAGAAGAAGAGGCUUCUUUUUUGUUUUCUGGGCAAACUGGAAAGUAGAAAAGUUUCCCCCUUAAGAAGAAGAGAAGAGACAUUCAUCUUUCUCAAAGGCU
ensembl:ncRNA C06E7.93 ncRNA